rnacentral:tRNA from 1 species
ACUAAGUUGGCAGAAUAUUGCUAUUGAUUUAAGCUCAUUCCAUGGGUUUAAACCCACCUAGU